rnacentral:rRNA from 1 species
AGUGAACGCUGGCGGUAGGCCUAACACAUGCAAGUCGAACGGCAGCACAGUAAGAUCUUGCUCUUACCGGUGGCGAGUGGCGUACGGGUGACGCAUACAUCGGAAUCUACUUUUUCUUGGGUCAUUACGUAGGUAAACUUACGCUAAUACCUCAUACUUCCUACCUGUUUAAUCAGUGGAUCUUCUGACCUUUCGCGUUUCAAUUAGCCGAUGUCGGAUUAGCUUGUUGGCGGGGUAAAGGCCCACCAAGGCGACGAUCCGUAGAUGAUCUGAGAGGAUGAUCAGAAAAACUGGAACAGAGACACGGAACAGAGUCAUACGGGAGGAAGCAGUGGGGAAUAUUGGACAAUGGGCGAAAGCGUGAUGCAGCAAUACAGCGUGGGUGAAGAAGGAGUUAGGGUUGUAAAGAGAUGUUGUUGGGAAAGAAAAGAAGGAGGAUAAAACGGAGAUGUAGUGACGGUAACCAAAGAAUAAGCAACGGCUAACUUCGUG